AUCUGACCUCAGAUCAGGCGGGACUACCCGCUGAACUUAAGCAUAUCAAUAAGCGGAGGAAAAGAAACUAACAAGGAUUCCCCUAGUAACUGCGAGUGAAGCGG
rnacentral:rRNA from 1 species